rnacentral:rRNA from 1 species
UAGUCCACGCCGUAAACGAUGAUAACUCGUUGCUGGCGAUACAUUGUCAGUGACCAAGCGAAAGUGUUAAGUUAUCCACCUGGGGAGUACGAUCGCAAGAUUGAAACUCAAAGGAAUUGACGGGGGCCCGCACAAGCGGAGGAACAUGUGGUUUAAUUCGAUGAUACGCGAGGAACCUUACCUGGACUUAAAUGUACGUUGCAUGGAUCAGAGAUGGUUCUUUCUUCGGACUACGUACAAGGUGCUGCAUGGUUGUCGUCAGCUCGUGCCGUGAGGUGUUGGGUUAAGUCCCGCAACGAGCGCAACCCCUAUCGUUAGUUACCAUCAUUAAGUUGGGGACUCUAGCGAGACUGCCGGCGUAAGCCGCGAGGAAGGUGGGGACGACGUCAAAUCAUCAUGGCCUUUAUGCCUAGGGCCACACACGUGCUACAAUGGUGCAUACAGAGGGUAGCGAAGCCGCGAGGUGGAGCCAAUCCCAGAAAGUGCAUCCCAGUUCGGAUUGGAAU